ACGCUGGCGGCACGCCUUAUACAUGCAAGUCGAACGAAGUAGCAAUACUUAGUGGCAGACGGGUGAGUAACAUGUAGGUAUCUUCCCUUUGGUGAGGAAUAACACGAGGAAACUUGUGCUAAUACCUCAUAAGUCUUCACGGAGAAAGCUUUAUGCGCCAAUGGAUGAGCCUGCACUUGAUUAGUUUGUUGGUGGGGUAAAAGCCUACCAAGACUUUGAUCAAUAGCUGAUCUGAGAGGAUGAUCAGCCACAUUGGGACUGAGACACGGCCCAAACUCCUACGGGAGGCAGCAGUAGGGAAUAUUGCACAAUGGAGGAAACUCUGAUGCAGCGAUGCCGCGUGAGUGAAGAAGGCCUUUGGGUUGUAAAGCUCUUUCGUCGGGGAAGAAAAUGACUGUACCCGAAUAAGAAGGUCCGGCUAACUUCGUGCCAGCAGCCGCGGUAAUACGAAGGGACCUAGCGUAGUUCGGAAUUACUGGGCUUAAAGAGUUCGUAGGUGGUUAAAAAAGUUGGUUGUGAAAUCCCGAAGCUUAACUUCGGAACUGCAAUCAAAACUUUUUAGCUAGAGUAUGAUAGAGGAAAGCAGAAUUUCUAGUGUAGAGGUGAAAUUCGUAGAUAUUAGAAAGAAUACCAAUUGCGAAGGCAGCUUUCUGGAUCAUUACUGACGCUGAGGAACGAAAGCAUGGGUAGCGAAGAGGAUUAGAUACCCUCGUAGUCCAUGCCGUAAACGAUGUGUGUUAGACGUUGGAAAUUUAUUUUCAGUGUCGCAGCGAAAGCAUUAAACACACCGCCUGGGGAGUACGACC
rnacentral:rRNA from 1 species